rnacentral:rRNA from 1 species
UUCGAACUCCUACGGGAGGCAGCAGUGAGGAAUAUUGGUCAAUGGACGGAAGUCUGAACCAGCCAAGUAGCGUGCAGGAUGACGGCCCUAUGGGUUGUAAACUGCUUUUGUAUGGGGAUAAAGUUAGGGACGUGUCCCUAUUUGCAGGUACCAUACGAAUAAGGACCGGCUAAUUCCGUGCCAGCAGCCGCGGUAAUACGGAAGGUCCAGGCGUUAUCCGGAUUUAUUGGGUUUAAAGGGAGCGUAGGCUGGAGAUUAUGUUGUUUGUGAAAUGUAGACGCUCAACGUCUGAAUUGCAGCGCAUACUGGUUUCCUUGAGUACGAAAAACGUUGGCGGAAUUCGUCGUGUAGCGGUGAAAUGCUUAGAUAUGACGAAGAACUCCGAUUGCGAAGGCAGCUGACGGGAGCGCAACUGACGCUUAAGCUCGAAGGUGCGGGUAUCGAACAGGAUUAGAAACCCCUGUAGUCCAGAGAA